ACAAAGGGCUUCUGUUGUGAGUGACACACGUAGGGCAGCUUGAUUGCUCUACGUGCAGAAUUGACAUCAGGAUAUUUCGGAAACACAGUUUUUUGGUACUUGGGCAGCUAGCGAUUGUUGGCCCUGGAGCCUAC